ACAUGUAUUUUAAAGAAAAUUAAUGGACGCAUUGUAUAUGACAUCUAUCAGUAACGACUAUCUUAUCCUUCUUUUAAAACAGUGCUAAUGAACAUUUCAUUUCUAGGAAAUGGUGAUUACAAAUGUAAGCAUGAAAGUGAUCGCCGGUGCAAAUUAGUCAACCAUUACCUAGCACAACCAACUUCAGAAAACAAGUGUUGACUCCUGCGCAUUUGCCGCGUUUCGGUAUAUAUCUUAACUCCCACAUGCUGUUAGCACAAUGGCACCCAUUUCUCUUACGCGUUCCUGAAAUCUAACAAUUUGAUUAUAAACUAAGCAGCGUCGUCCUGAAUUUUCUUCUCAUUAAGCUGGAGGAGCGAACGAAAUGCUCACGCAUAGACAGACGGUCAAGGACAAAUUUGAUGCUGACAAAAUUGAUGGACGACCUGUGGAGAGUUCCCAGCAAGAAAAGCUCUGCAUGGAGCAGAAAACGUGCACACAGUGAAAACGAAGUAACGACGGGAUCACAUCACUGCCGUGACUCUGCC
rnacentral:lncRNA from 1 species